GGGGACUUUGCCCGGGACCAUGGCUUAAGCCUUUACAGAGUAUAUGUUCCUGGAAACAAAGCCUAGAGAAGGGCUGAGAUGGCCUCCCAGGUUGUUCCCCCAACAGUGACAGAUAUCUCUGAAGGGCUCAAUAAAGAAGAAUGAAGGAAAGAGAACACUUGUUGGAGCCACAGAUGUAAGGAACCUGGGCAGCAAGAGAUAAGCCAAUAUAUCUGCCUGUUGAGCCUACAGUUAAAAAUAAUUAUAGAGAGCAUGGUGAUGCUUCAGAAACUGUCAGACUUUGGCUCGGUGCAUGCUGCACCCUUGCAGCUUUCCAAAAGGUGUACAUGACUUAGAUCAACUGUUGGUUUGAGAAGAAUCAGCCAGGACAAGAUCUGAAAACAGCACCAGGGCCAUACCAUAAGUACGAGUCAGAAAAGGAAAAGAGAAGAGAUGGAAGAAGAAGAUAAAAACAGACAAUACGCCCUUCACUUCUGAUCUUCACCCAAGUGUUGGGCCUGAAUAAAGAGCAGGCGGUUUGAAGAGGAAGCCUCCCUGGCAUGGUGGUCCAGGCUGAUGUUUCUUCCAUAUGGACAGUGGAGGGUGUGAUUCUGAUACUCUUCUAGUAAACAAGUGGGAUAUCAGGAUCAGGGUGGCUUGAACAAGUCAUUUACAUGGUGGUAUUUCACAUUCUUUUGAGACUGAUAGGGGACUUCAAAGUGUCACUUAGCUUCACCACCACCUGCCUUGAAGAAAACUUUCCAAUCAACUAUAUCAAUUGGAUUAAGUUUUAUCCCACUUGUUAAGUAUGCUUCCCCUGCCCCUGAGAAGCUGGUUGCCUAAUCCUACCCAACACACUCCAUGGUUAAAGGGCCACUUGGAAAAAAACAGAGAUGAGUUGCUUGGGAAAUUU